UACGGAGGGUGCAAGCGUUAUCCGGAUUCACUGGGUUUAAAGGGUGCGUAGGGGGGUUGGUAAGUCAGUGGUGAAAUCUCCAAGCUUAACUUGGAAACUGCCGUUGAUACUAUCUGUCUUGAAUAUUGUGGAGGUGAGCGGAAUAUGUCAUGUAGCGGUGAAAUGCUUAGAUAUGACAUAGAACACCAAUUGCGAAGGCAGCUCACUACUCAAUCAUUGACUCUGAGGCACGAAAGCGUGGGGAUCAAACAGG
rnacentral:rRNA from 1 species